AUCACUUCUCAGCCUUUUGGCUAAGAUCAAGUGUAGUAUCACAAAAGGAUUAGUAGUCAGGGCUAUGUUUAUUACAUAUAAAUUCGUAAAAGAAGGCAAUAGAUCAAUAUUUCUGUUCUUCCACUCAAUUCCACAUCAAUAGAAUGGAAGGAUAGCAA
rnacentral:snRNA from 1 species